GGGCAUCUCCAGCGCGGUGGAGGCUCGUCCUGGAAGCCCUGCCUGGUUUUAGGAAGAGGGCAAGGAAUGGGUGCUCGGGACUUGACGUGUGGGGAGGUGAGAGGGACUAAGAGUACAUUUUCUAUUGAUUUCUGGCCACCCACCAAGGCUGUGCACCCAACUGCUGUGUCCCUCAGCCUCCCCCAGGUCUGCUGAGGCCACCUUUUCCCUCCACAUUCUCCUGAAAGGUGGAAGGGAUUUAAGGGUCUUUUCCCAGCCCCCGUGACUGCUGCCAUCAGCAGAAGGGUCAGGAUCUCCUUCCUCCUGGAACACAAGGCUUUACAGGAACUCUCCAAUGUUCUAGGAUGAAAAUAUGCACAUUAAGAGUAGCUGCAUCUGGCUAUCGCAAGGACAAAAAACCAAACACAGCAUGUUCUCACUCGUAGGUGGGAAUUGAAUAAUGAGAACACAUGGACACAGGAAGGGGAACAUCACACACCAGGGACUGUUGUGGCGUAGGGGGAGGGAGGAGGGAUAGCAUUAGGAGAUAUACCUAAUGCUAAAUGACGAGUUAAUGGGUGCAGCACACUAACAUGGCAUAUGUAUACAUAUGUAACAAACCCGCACGUUGUGCACAUGUACCCUAAAACUUAAAGUAUUAAAAAAAAAAAAAAAAAAGAGUAGCUGCAUCUGGCAAACCCGGGAGAUCUUUGCACUCUCCAGCUCCCAGCUUUCUCUCCCUGCCCAGCUGGGCAGCCCUUCAAGCCCUCCAGCCCCUUCCUCUUAAGUAGAUAAUGAAGAAAGUGGCUGUAUUGUGUGUCUCCUGGAGUAUUGGCGUUGGUUGGGGGGCGGAGGGUCCCAGCAAGGAGACCUGUCACCUGUGAUGCUGCCAAUGUCACAUUCACCUGCCAGCCUGGCCUGCCUGGGCGAGCGCGCCUGCCCUAACCCUCCUCCCUUAGGGUGCAAUCCAUUUUUUUGUUGAGGCUGUGAUUGUUCUGAUUUUUGUUUCAACCCCUUUGCUGACCAGGCCUCCAAUAGAAAGAAGGGAAUUCACACACAUUUUCUAUACCCUAAUGAGUGCAUGCAUUUUUUUUUUUUUUAGAUGAAGUCUCUCUUUGUUGCCCAGGCUGGAGUGCAAUGAUGCGAUCUCUGCUCACUGCAACCUCUGCCUCCCAGUCUCAAGCAAUUCUUCUGCCUCAGCCUCCCAAGUAGCUAGGACUACAGGCGUCUGCCACCACACCCAGCUAAUUUUUGUUUUUUUGGUAGAGACGGGGUUUCGCCAUAUUGACCAGGCUAGUCUCGAACUCCUGACCUCAAGUGAUCCACCCACUUUGGCCUCCCAAAGUGCUGGGAUUACAGGCAUGAACUACCACGCCCUGUCCCUCCUAAGCUUUUUGUAGACACAUUGCUGUUGCCUGAGCCUGAAGAGCCUUUUCUCCUCCCUCCUCCUCACCUGGCCAAUCCCAUUUGUGCAUUCAGAACUGGACUUCCUCCUCCGGGAAGCCUCCCUUGACCUUCCCUGCUCCCACUUGCAAGUUCACUGGCGAAAUCCCAGAACCCUUUAUCCCUUUGCUCUCUGAGCUCUUACCACAUGAUUUCGUUCCCUUGUGAACAUGAUUUUGUUCCCUUGUGGGUUUAAACACCAUCUGCAGUCCCAUUUCCUGAUACCCUGCCUGGCAUGCAGACAGAGUGAAUGAAUCCUCCCUUCCUUUUAAAUAAACACUAAUACUUUUGAGAUUUUAACACUUUGCAAGGGAAUUGUUCUCUAUGUUAAGCGCUUUCCUACUUUUAUAAAAACAUACUGAACAAAAUUAAACCUCUCGCAAAUGACUAAAGGUCGUGAGUGGAAUUAUAACUUAUAGCCCACUGAUUUCUUUGCAGCUUUUGCAGUGGGCAGAACUAUUAUCUUCACACCAAAUGGAUUCAUGUCACUAAGAUUUCGCUAGUGGUUGGAUCUGUUUUUUUAAAGUUUUCCAAUUUCUUUCCUCACCGUCUGAUGAUAAUUCUUAUUCUAGGUUGCUUGCCUUUUGGCAGUGCCCUUUUACCCAGUUCGUGGUACCUAAUCCAGCUGCCUUUGGGUUGAAAAACUAAGGAUACAGUCUCUUUACCUUUGGGUGCGGGUUAAGAGUAAAUUGGUCCUGAAUAAAGAUUAUGAACAAGGAUUUUCCUUGUUUUGGUUGCCUGAAGUCUUUUAAAAAUAAAUAAAUAAAUAAAAUAAACAACCUAGUUCCUGUUGACUUUAUAGAUUACUAAAAAAUGUAUCUAUUCCUGCCAAGAAAUAGUUUGAACUAAAAUCAGAGGGAACGUGCAGCUCUUUGAGUAUUUUGUUUGGUGCUAUGUAAUUGUAAUUAAUUUCAUGUCAUUUUCAUUGCUUUAUUUCCUCAACAUGGUACCUACAUCACAGGGCUUUUGUAAGAAUUAAAUGAGAUAACAUAGAUAAAAGUAAAGCAAUCAUUUUUAAAGUUCGGUUUUAAAAACCCACCCACUUUUGCAAAUCAGACUCUGUGUUUUUAAUCAGACAGUUGAAACUAGGGCAGUUGACCGUUGGGGCACUUGAUUUGCUAAACGAAAUCUCUCAGUCUUGUGAAGUGGGAACCAUGUGACCCUCUGACUCAGGUUUUGUGUUCUUCCUAGUGGAAGGAGCCUGGGAGAGGCCAGGCCUCCCCGGACUGCUAGCCUGCUUUUCCUGGGGUCCCUGGAGCCGGAGGAAGAACCAGGAUGUUGCUGCCUGCAGAAGCUCAGCUCAGGUGAUUUCUUCUCCUGUGUUCCAGAAGACUUCCAGGAACCUGAGGAGGAGCUGCCACUAACAGCCAUAUUUCCCAAUGGAGACUGUGAUGACCUUGGAAGGGGGUCAAAAGCCUGUGAUGGAGUCGUACACACUCCUGCUGAGCCCACCGGAGACUCAAGAUGAAGGCUGGACCCUUGCGCUGUCCCUGGCUCUAACCUACAGACUGGGGCCUGGCUCCGUCUUACUGGCCCCCAGGUCUCCAUGGAGACUGCAGAAACCCCCGCCUGCUGGAGGCCUGCCACACUCACAGUUACCAGCUAGACAGUGGGGCUUACUAAGACAAGCAGGACCUAAAACAGUGUCUCCCCUGGGAACCUACUCCCCACCCAGCAUUUGCUAAGUCUGAUCACAGGGAGGUUAUUUUGUCUCUCUGUCUCGGUUUCUCUGAGCCACUGAGACAGAUGGCUGUCCGCUUUGAGGCUCUGCAGAGCUGUGGCACCCCAUGGUGUGUCUGCAGUGUUCUGGGCACAUGCAUGGGCACCCAUCGUUGAGAGUGCAGCUGGGAAGAACUCUGAACCAGAAGUCAUCAGAGCUGAGGCAUGGCCUUGAACAUGUCACUCAGUCUCUGGGGCUUCUGUUUCACAAAUGCAUGAGGGGGCCACCAGCCCAGUGGCUUUAAACCAGGGGCAGGUUGUCCCUCCAGGCAGCAUUGGAAAUGUGUGUGUGUUGAGGGGGUCACAGUGACUGUGGGGGCACCCCUGGCAUCUAGUGGGCAUCCCACAAUGUGCAGAACAGUCUCUGACAGCAAAGAAUUGGUCCAUUCAAUGCCAAUUGUAGUACCUUUGAGACAUUCUGGCUGAGCCAAUGCCUUCUCCCUGUCAGAGUCCCCCAGAGCAGAGAGGGUCAGGCUUCCCUGGACCUUGGCUCCCAGAGCAAGCCAAAAUAAAGACUACACUGUUGCCUUGGGGGCUUGUCGGGCCAGGGCCAAGACGGUCUGCGUGCUGCAGGGCCAGGACAGAAAUAGCCACACAUGCCGGUGAGAACAAAGAGCCUCUUUCUUUCUCAUGUUGACAUCGACUUUCUGUGCCAAGUCCUUUGGGUAUAAGGAUGCUAGGGAAUUCCUAUAGGCACCAAACAGAAGGAAAGCUAGGGGCUUGGACUACUGGGUAUAGGACUUGCUCUAGCUCUCAGGUCCUAGCCCAAGCUCAAUGCAAACACAGCCCCUCCGGGCUCUCUGUUUCUGUGAGGUUCUGGAAUCCCUUCCUCUGUGUCCGUGAGUCUGACAGAAUCGAUGAUGUUCCCUUAGAGCUGGGAAAUCCAUGUGUUUAUUCACGGAGGGAACUCACCAUUACCUCCCUUGUCUUCUUUGCCUGCCUUGGAGAAAUCCAGAGUCUUCGGAAUGGCAAAGGCAGCUCCUGGAUUUCCCUGGAGGGGAGGCACUAGCUGAGGGAAGUAGCUCCCUUCAUUCAUGAUGCACAGUUUACGCAGCAGACACACAACUGCGCCUACUAUUUGCUCGGUGCCCUGCAAGGUGCUGCCUAACUUUGAUUUGUUAUUUCAGCUCUCUCCAGGAUAGUGCCAAAUGGUGCAAUGGGAAACCUGUUUUGCUGGGGGGCUCUAGAUCACUGGCUCCAGAACUCCCGGCUGCCAGGGUAGCCCCUACCCCCAGCCCCUUGCUCCUGGACAGCAGUGGGUCUCACCUUUAGCCUCUGCCCCCAGUUCUGGUCUGACCCAACAGAGGGGCUCUAUGAUAUUAAGAAGGGGCCCUUCCUGCUCUGUGCCUCAACCUAUUCUCCAUAAUAGGGAGUCUAAUCCUAUUCCUUCCCUGCCUGAUGAGGAUGGUGUGAGGAUGAGGAGGACGGCAUCUCAUUUGGGGCUUUUUGGCAGUGGGCCUCAUUUUAAUCCUGCAGGGCUGCCUGCCAGUGGAUCUAUCCAGCUGCUUCCUUGUAGCCAAGAAUGAGUUCAAUGAAUUGUGAUUCACUGAUUUUAUUGAUUUUGUUUUAAAACAGGGAGACUGGUAUUUUUGAAGCUGCUAUCAUUUUCUAUUUCUUUAUUAAUUUCUUUGUAAUCAUCUUAUUAAAGUUUUCUUAUUUAGUGGGAGAGGGAGCUUUGUUUAAGUUUGGAAUUUGCCUAAGGCAGAAGUUAUAAGGCUUCAUAACCUUUUGUAUGUAUUGCCAAUAUUUGAAACUUGGGAGAUUACGUAUAAAAAAUACCUAGUUUUCUGGGUGGAGGAUGGGGCAUGCUGUCAUCUCAAGUCUGCUGCGGCUCACCCCCACCACCUUUACCCCCUCCCCCGCCCUUCCCAUCCCCCACUGCACUUCACUCAUGUAAGACGUCUGCCCGGUGCUGGUCCAGGCGGGCAUGUGAGUUUGUAGCCUCUGCUCCAAAGGAUGGUUUACACAUUAUUUUUUCAUUACCUUCAGUAUUCCUGUGAAUGGUUCAAGAGAGAAAGUCUUCAUUUACUAAGAUUUGGGUUCUGCCUCCCAAGUGACAAUACGGGGCUGAGAUCCCUCUCAGCUUCUUUGAGAUGUGGCCACCAUAAGCAUCAUCGUUGUAGGGACAGUCUCAUUGCUGUCUUCUAGCAGACAGAAGAGUUAGGUGCCAGAAAGGACAAUCUUGAUGGUGGGUCCCCUCCCUGAAGGACUUUAAGAAGGCAUAAAGGGGUUGGGGUGGAGGGUGGCGUGUGAAGGAGGAGGCCCUUGAUUAGGUCAGUGGUCCCUGGGAGCCAUCGGCGAGAGGCCUCCAGCCGGGUGACAGUCUGGGCUCUCGGGUACUAAUCUUUCUAAUAUGGCAGUGGUUGUGGCACUUCUGACUUGAAUUGAUAAUUCUCAUAUCUAAUAAAACCAAGAAGUACCUCGUUGAUAUCUUAUAGAAAA
rnacentral:lncRNA from 1 species